rnacentral:rRNA from 1 species
UGCAGAAUCCCGUGAACCAUCGAGUCUUUGAAUGCAAGUUGCGCUCGAGGCCAUUAGGUCGAGGGCAUGUCUGUUUGGGUGUCA